rnacentral:rRNA from 1 species
AGAGUUUGAUCAUGGCUCAGGACGCACGCUGGCGGCGUGCCUAAUACAUGCAAGUCGAACGAACUCUGGUAUUGAUUGGUGCUUGCAUCAUGAUUUACAUUUGAGUGAGUGGCGAACUGGUGAGUAACACGUGGGAAACCUGCCCGGAAGCGGGGGAUAACACCUGGAAACAGAUGCUAAUACCGCAUAACAACUUGGACCGCAUGGUCCGAGCUUGAAAGAUGGCUUCGGCUAUCACUUCUGGAUGGUCCCGCGGCGUAUUAGCUAGAUGGUGAGGUAACGGCUCACCAUGGCAAUGAUACGUAGCCGACCUGAGAGGGUAAUCGGCCACAUUGGGACUGAGACACGGCCCAAACUCCUACGGGAGGCAGCAGUAGGGAAUCUUCCACAAUGGACGAAAGUCUGAUGGAGCAACGCCGCGUGAGUGAAGAAGGGUUUCGGCUCGUAAAACUCUGUUGUUAAAGAAGAACAUAUCUGAGAGUAACUGUUCAGGUAUUGACGGUAUUUAACCAGAAAGCCACGGCUAACUACGUGCCAGCAGCCGCGGUAAUACGUAGGUGGCAAGCGUUGUCCGGAUUUAUUGGGCGUAAAGCGAGCGCAGGCGGUUUUUUAAGUCUGAUGUGAAAGCCUUCGGCUCAACCGAAGAAGUGCAUCGGAAACUGGGAAACUUGAGUGCAGAAGAGGACAGUGGAACUCCAUGUGUAGCGGUGAAGUGCGUAGAUAUAUGGAAGAACACCAGUGGCGAAGGCGGCUGUCUGGCCUGUAACUGACGCUGAGGCUCGAAAGUAUGGGUAGCAAACAGGAUUAGAUACCCUGGUAGUCCAUACCGUAAACGAUGAAUGCUAAGUGUUGGAGGGUUUCCGCCCUUCAGUGCUGCAGCUAACGCAUUAAGCAUUCCGCCUGGGGAGU